AUUAUUAUUAUUUUUGUAUUGUUAAAUUAAUUUUUUAAAUUCCCUAUUUCUUUACAUCUAUAUAUUAUCGCAAACUCAGUCCUGAUUAGUUUUUUAUUAUUAUGUUAUUAAGGUUUAACUAUAAACGUUAGUUUAGACUUUAGUCUUACAAUAUUUUUAGAGUUUUUAAGCAAACAUAAAAAGACGUAAAUAACACUGCAUUGCUAAUCAAAGUUCAAAUAAAACCAAACACUUGCAAAGAACAAACUUACUGGAAACAGAAAACAACAAACUUACUGGAAACAGAAAACGACAAACAUAAAUCACAAUGAAAACAUAAAAAGUUCAAAACAUAAAAACAGAAAACGACAAACACAAAGCACAAUUCCACACUUCCUUAGCCACUUUUGUUCGAGUUUGACUGCUGCUUGAGACCUUUUUCUUUUUUCACAAACACUCUGGUGCAAUGUUUCUUUGAUGACGAAGUGAGUUCAGUUGGGUCGUUGGUUAUGGCAAUUUCAUUGCGUUUAGAUGAUGGCGUUGUUACAGAGUCCUCGUUGACUUCACUUCCCAUCAGUAGAAAUGAACCCUACAAUAUAAACUCAGUUAUCUAAUAGUUGCGGUCCUUAAAUUAAAAUUAAAAUUUUAUAUAUGAAUAAGACAAAAGAUACCUGUUCACCACUAUAAUUUGUAGUUUCAGUUUCAGAUGGAGUACCCGAUUCUGUGACACCAGCAGUCAAUAGCAUACUUAGUUCACUCCAUACUUUACCAACCUUAAAACUCCCACUUUUGCUUGUAUGAUUGUCUUUCUCAAUGAAAACUCCAAACAUGAAAGUUUUACCAACCAAAGAAGUAAUAGCUUCAGGAAAUGAAUCAAUAUCUUCUAGCUGUAUAAUGAAUGUAGAGUUACAUAAUAAAUUACUUGCAUCUGUAAAAUAAAUGUAGUUAUAAUUAAUAGUUUAUGAAAUAGAGUAUACCUCAUCAAAUGAACCAUCGAGAAGGUUGAGAGCAGUCUCAGGCACAAUUCCUUGUGCAGUCCAGUCCAAUAACAUGAGGGUAGCUUUUCCAGUACCAUCCUUAACCUUCACAUGAAUCUUGAACCUACAUAAUAUAAUAAACAUAAUCAAAUUACGUAUGCAAACUUUUUGACUAUUCAUAAACUGUGUUUUGUAAAGUAAACUUACUUUGGGGAGACAUCUGUAACUUUAUGGUUGCAACCUUCACACCACCAAACAUGAGAUUUAGUCUCUUUUCCGUUGACUGUUUUCACUGAAGUUGAAAACGGAAGAACCUUUUUUCCCAGGCAAGCAUUGCAUCCGAAAAAGUACCAUCCCCAAUCCUUAUCAAUUGCAUAGAUUGUGCUAAUGAUUCUGCAUUGCCCAAUCUACAUUUAUAAUAUAUAGAAAUUAGUGUUUGACAAAUAAAUCACUGCUAUAACAUAUAUUGAAUCGAUAAAUAUAACCUGAGAUGAUGCAAGAAGCUCUGCAAUGUCUUUCUGAGGAAAAAGCAACCACUUAUCACGUCUUAAUUCCCUCUCAAUUUUGUCUUUUUCAGAUUGAAAUGUUGUCAAAGCAUUGGACGGUUCAACCCUGUAAAAACAUAAAUUAACAUAGAUUUGUCAUAAUAUUCCUUGAGCUUUAUCUAAUUUAUUAAUCUGUUAUCAAAACCUUUUCAUAAACUCAUCUGUCUCCUUUAUUGGUGGGUUGAAAACGACCUGAGAUGCAUCAAACGCAUUGGAUAUCUGAACCUGGUCUGCAUAUUAUCAAUAGUAAUAAAAAAUCAGUAACGCUCUUAUUCAAGAAAAAUAAUAAACACUGUAUUAUUUUAUAUAAAAAGAAAAUGAUAUGAGAUUACUUCGAUAGGUCCCGAUUUUAGCAAAACGUAUUAGGCAUACAACAAUUUCUUCUUCAGAUUGUUGGCUGAAACUGUGUAUUGCUUCAGAAAACUUUCCCCAAAGGCAGCAAGGUAUCUUUUGAUCACUGUUGAAAACAUAUAUUGAAACGUGUGUAUAACUAAAGCCAUUGUCAAUAUAAUUAAAAAAAAUAUAUGAUAUAAGAAAUACAUAAAUUAAUAUAUUACCUGAUGUCUCUCAAGCUGAACUCGAUUUUCUUUUUUUCUUUACCGUGACACUGCACAGUUUCCAGAUCUCCCAACUCAAACACUUGUCCAAUAACAUCUGAUAUUGUACACAUCAUAUUGUUGAAGGAGUGAUGUCAGUGGUGGGAAUGAAGACAAUCUUGUAUUGGUGAUUUGUAGUCUUGUAACUACCGCCAUUAUUAGUCACCAAGAAAUUGUCAAUGUUUCUCCAAGCACCAACAGGUACUUUUUUCUCCAAACGAUCAAAGUAUGUCUUCUUACAUGA